GACGAACGCUGGCGGCGUGCCUAAUACAUGCAAGUAGAACGCAGUUGCGAACGGGUGAGUAACGCGUAGGUAACUGCCUCAUAGCGGGGGAUAACUAUUGGAAACGAUAGCUAAUACCGCAUACUGUGAGAUGGACCUUCGUUGUAUUAGCGAGUUGUUGAGGUAAAGGCUCACCAAGGCGACGAUACAUAGCCGACCUGAGAGGUGGAUCGGCACAACUGAUACGGAGACACGGCCCAGACUCCUACGGUAGGAAGCAGUAGGGAAUCGUCGGCAAUGGACGGAAGUCUGACCGAGCAACGCCGCGUGAGUGAAGAAGGUUUUCGGAUCGUAAAGCUCUGUUGUUAGAGAAGCGUUAACUAACCAGAAAGGGACGGCUAACUACGGGCCAGCCGCCGCGGUAAUUC
rnacentral:rRNA from 1 species